GGAAUCUUCCACAAUGGGCGAAAGCCUGAUCCAGCAAUGCCGCGUGUGUGAAGAAGGUCUUCGGAUUGUAAAGCACUUUCGACGGGGACGAUGAUGACGGUACCCGUAGAAGAAGCCCCGGCUAACUUCGUGCCAU
rnacentral:rRNA from 1 species